GGAGGGUGCAAGCGUUAUCCGGAUUCACUGGGUUUAAAGGGUGCGUAGGCGGGUAUGUAAGUCCGUGGUGAAAUCUCCGAGCUUAACUCGGAAACUGCCGUGGGUACUGCGUAUCUUGAAUGUUGUGGAGGUGAGCGGAAUAUGUCAUGUAGCGGUGAAAUGCUUAGAUAUGACAUAGAACACCAAUUGCGAAGGCAGCUCACUACACAGAAAUUGACGCUGAGGCACGAAAGCGUGGGGAUCAAACAGGAUUAGAUACCCUGGUAGUCCACGCCCUAAACGAUGAUUACUCGACAUACGCGAUACACAGUGUGUGUCUGAGCGAAAGCAUUAAGUAAUCCACCUGGGAAGUACGACCGCAAGGUUGAA
rnacentral:rRNA from 1 species